rnacentral:lncRNA from 1 species
CUAUUUCAUUGUUAACAUAUAUUUUGUGGCACAUACUUCCAUGUGAUACAAAUAAAUCAAUACAUUCAAGUGUAAAUCUAUAGGAUUGUUUACUCUUUUCCAAACCAAAGAAUUCAACAAGAGCAACUUUGUUUCCCCCAACUAACAACCAUUUCUUCCAUUCCCAAGAACACGAUUGUGGUGUUCUAGAACUUAUCGUACUGAUAAAUGCCCUCCCAAGGAUCUGCCGUUCUAAUUUCUUUAUGAAUAUUGUGGGAUAAUAAUCAGUGACAAAAUCAAUGCGGGACCUCUUUUUGAAACUAAAAGGAUGAUUUUUUAAAUUAUAAUUGCCAAAUCGAAAAAAGUGCUUGGUAUCCUAGUAAUGAAUUGAAUAACUGUCAUGUCAUCAAAUUCCUAAGGAAUGCCCUUUUCUAAAAG